GGGUGUUAGGUUCCUGAGUGCAAACUUUUUAAAGGGUGAUAGAGGACCAUGAAUGGUGAAAAAAAUUGUUCUACGCAUAUGGUCAAAUCUCAACCGUUACGUAGUUAUUGAACUUCCCAUGAUUUUGACUCUCAUCGCCUUAACUGGCUAUAACUUGAAAAUGGUCAAACUUAUCGCAAUGUUUUUACCCUUAUCCGAAAGAUUAUUGAAUUUUCUAUCAAAUGGCAUCUUUGAAUCGAUUGGUUUAGUUAAAUAACUAGGUUUUCUAGAGCAAAAUUGCUCAAAAUAGUGUGUUUCAAUUUGUUUUUGUCAAUUAUCUUCGAAACAUGCGUAAUAAAUUCAAAUUCUUUCUUUGGCAAAGUUGUGGCCCCUGUUCCACUCUACAAUUCGUUCUUUGACACCAAACUUCUAGCUCUUAUCGUUUUCAUGCAAUUUCGAUUUAAAUGUGCGGCACAGUGCGCAAAAAAGUGUUUAGCUUGACAGUUGCAAAUUUAUGACCUGAAAUGAGAUGUUUAAAUCAAAAUUGCAAGAAAGCGAUAAGAGAUAGACAUUUAGUGACAAAGAACGGAUUGUAGAGUGGAACGGGGGCCACAACUCUGCCUAAGAAAGAAUUUUAAUUUGUUACGCAUGUUUCAAAGUUAAUUGACAAAAACAAAUUAAAACACACUAUUUUGAGCAAUUUUGCUCUAAAAAACUUAGUUAUUUAACUAAACCAAUCGAUUCAAAGAUGCCAUUUGAUAGAAAAUUCAAUAAUCUUUCGGAUAAGGGUAAAAAAAUGGCGAUAAGUUUGACCAUUUUCAAGUUAUAGCCAGUUAAGGCGAUGAGAGUCAAAAACAUAGGAAGUUCAAUAACUACGUAACGGUUGAGAUUUGACCAUAUGCGUAGAACAAUUUUUUUCACCAUUCAUGGUCCUCUAUCACCCUUUAAAAAGUUUGCACUCAGGAACCUAACACCCUGUAUAUGUUCAAAAU